CAUUCUCUCUCUUCAUACUUUUCUCUCUCACCAUCUCAAAACAUCUCUCUCCAUAUUCAACCACAAACCUAGAUAUUUAAGAACAUUCUUCAACAAAACCAACCCAGGAAACCCAAAAAAUUUGCAUGCAUGCACAAAAACCUUCAUCAAAAUCGUAAAAGUAUUUACAACCCCAUCGUUCAAAAAAAUCAACAAAUUCAACCCUAAAUUUAACCAAACUUCCAUUUUCACCCCAUUUUCUUCUUUCGUUUCCCCAAAUUAUGGUCGAUACCACCUACUUCAACUUCUCCAGUAAACCUUCAAGCUCAGACUAUCUCCAUCCUAAAUAAACCCCAUCCCUUAUUCUUGUAACUCCCCCCUCGAUCACAUCAAAUACGACUCUUUGUAUUGUUCCUUGCAAGUCGCUUUAAUCUCCAAAAACAAACUAUGAUUCAUUGAUGAAACUUUCCUCAAAUCUCACAUUGGUUAUACUUUCUCCGAUCCUUGGCUCCGUUGCAACACACUUUUCUCUCAUGCCUUCAACUUUCCAUCUCUGAGAACAUUGUUCAAUCCAUCUUAUGGAUUGGCAGUGCUCAUGUUGUUUGGCAGAACCUGGAGAAUCGGUUUUCUCAAAGUGUUCUCUUUAAAAAUCUCUAAUCUUCAAGAAGAUCUCAUAAAUCUCCAUCAAGGUAACCUUAAUGUCUCUACCUAUUUUUCAAAGCUGAUGUCUCUUUGGAAGCAAAUUGUUUGUCUCUGACCUACUGAUGAUGGUACGUAUGAUAUCCCUUGUACCUGUGGAUCCGCUUCUUACCUUCGAAAGUACAAAGACCAGGAUCGUGUCAUAAAAUUUCAUAAGGGUCCCAUUGAGAAAUUCUCUACCAUUAAGUCUCAAGUCUUGUUGUUUGAACCUCUUCCCCCAUUGAACAAGACUUUCGUAAUAGCUAUGCACUUCAAUACCUCCUCCAUUUCUGGGGGAGCUCAUGGUACCAACUCUUAUCAUGGACAUGGUCACUUGAUUAGUCACCAUUUUCAUUAAGUUUCCGUUACUGAUCCGACAAGAAACGGAGGAUUUAGAGACACAGUGCAAGCAUUUGGGUGCUUUUGAAGUCAAUUUUAAUUCCCGUCCAGGUGGAAGAAUCGAGGAACUCAGAGCAAGACAAUACGGAAUUACGGCAAACGAAGGAAUGAAAAAUCAUCAGUAUAGGAGGCCUAACACGGUCACCUGUGUCACCUGACACGGGUCGUGUCAGGCAGAAGGAGGAUAGUGGAAAAAAACAGAAGCCAUACACGGCCCGUGUCAGGCUAUUCCCCAGCUGUGUUGCUCCUCCAUGGGCGUGUCAAGCUAAGUAGUAAGCUGACAUGGCCACCUGUGUCAGCUGACACGGGUCGUGUCAGCCCCGUCCCAUAAUUUUCUUGAUUUUGGGCUUUUAUCAUCGGGCUUUUGAGGAUAUUUUUGGAGUUGUCCACCUUUUUCUUGGAAUUUUCACUGUAUAAGGGUAUCUUCUACCAAAGAAAAUCUUAUCUUGGAACGAGGAGAACACAGAGUUGUCAAGCAAUCAAGUAUUACAGAGAGGAAAGAGUUCGGAGAGCGGAAGGUUUUCAUGAGCGGAAGCGAUUGAAGAUCCAAGUCAUCCAAUUACUUGUAAUGUGUAAUUUUUAUCUUGAAUUUGUUUUGAACAAUAUGAAUAGCUAAACCCCCCAAUGCUAGGGGGGUGUCCCUGAUUUAGAAUUGUAAUGACUUUGAGUUUACAUUUGCAUUUAUAAUAUUAUUCUUAUGGUAAA